GCCAAGGAUGGCAGGGCUGGGGUCUUGGGCUUGGAAGCCAGCAGGCAGAGGUGCACUAGUACGGGCGGCCCCAGGCUCUGACGAACCCCUGCCCCACAGAGCUCAUGUCCCAGACGGGCCACCUGGGGCUGGCCAAUGCCUCGGCUCCAUCAGGUGAGCAGCUGCUCCGGACACUGGCCGAGGUGGAGCGGCUGCUCUGGGAGAUGCGGGCCCGGGACCUGGGGGCCCCGCAGGCAGCAGCUGAGGCUGAGUUGGCUGCAGCACAGAGAUUGCUGGCCCGGGUGCAGGAGCAGCUGAGCAGCCUCUGGGAGGAGAACCAGGCACUGGCCACACAAACCCGCGACCGGCUGGCCCAGCACGAGGCCGGCCUCAUGGACCUGCGAGAG
rnacentral:lncRNA from 1 species